rnacentral:rRNA from 1 species
GACGAACGCUGGCGGCGUGCUUAACACAUGCAAGUCGAACGGAAAGGCCCUGCUUUUGUGGGGUGCUCGAGUGGCGAACGGGUGAGUAACACGUGAGUAACCUGCCCUUGACUUUGGGAUAACUUCAGGAAACUGGGGCUAAUACCGGAUAGGAGCUCCUGCUGCAUGGUGGGGGUUGGAAAGUUUCGGCGGUUGGGGAUGGACUCGCGGCUUAUCAGCUUGUUGGUGGGGUAGUGGCUUACCAAGGCUUUGACGGGUAGCCGGCCUGGGAGGGUGACCGGCCACAUUGGGACUGCGAUACGGACCAGACUCCUACGGGAGGCAGCAGUGGGGAAUCUUGCACAAUGGGCGGAAGCCUGAUGCAGCAACGCCGCGUGCGGGAUGACGGCCUUCGGGUUGUAAACCGCUUUCGCCUGUGACGAAGCGUGAGUGACGGUAAUGGGUAAAGAAGCACCGGCUAACUACGUG